rnacentral:lncRNA from 1 species
UGGGGCCAGGGAUGGUCCGGCAGAUUGUGUAGUUCGGAGUGAGAGAUAUAGACGAAUUGGACGUUUUUGUUCAGGUAGGAACAAAUUAUCGCCGUUGUGAAGUUAAAUCGAACUUAUUAAACGUUUUGAUGGUUGUAAUGCAAAUCGUAGGAAGAUAUUGUGUACACACUACGACAGGUAUUAAAGUGACUAGCGAUGACGAACGGUUGGUACUGUCUAGGUUCUCGGUUGGCCAAGAACCUUUGAUUAAUAUCAAGUCUAAGCUGAGAAUGAGGUGUAGCAUUCAAACACUCCAACCAGAAAGUAGACGAUAUAGUUACUGUUGGACUGACGAAAGCAGUCGAACAAAACGAUAUCAAGUUUGUUCUAGUUAUGAGACUUAUGGUGGUCCUGGACAUCCAUCCAAUUCCUGGAUCUUUCAUCUGUGGUAGUAUUGAACUCAAUAGUUAACGAUAUACAAGUCUGUGUGUGCGUGUAGGAAUUCGCAACGUUAUUAUUAUACAUAUAUACAUAAAUAUAUAAAUAUAUAUAUAUAUAAAAUAUACAUACAAUUUUUAUUGUCUUUCUAUAACUCAC